rnacentral:piRNA from 1 species
UCGUAGUUUUUUCGGAAUUCC